CAGUCUGAAAGUAGCUGCUGUUAAUAUGUCCCAGUCGAGAGGAAGUCCCCCAAGUCAUCCAGAGGAUUGCUGUGUUAUUUAGCAGCUCCACAAUACAAGAACACAAGAGGAAAUCAUUUUAAUUUUAAAAAUUCAAAGGCCAUUUUGACCACAAGCUGAUCCAACAGAUUCUGGUAUGACAAGAAACUACAAAUUCAUAAGUGUCAUACAGGUUGGAGCAAGCACUCCCAUCAGGCCCCUCUAUAAACCACGCUAGCUUUAUGAGUCGCCCAUAUGUGUCUCUACUCUGCUGAGUUCAGAUAUCAAACACGAGCAGACGUAUGAAAUCCCAGGACGAGGCAGCGAAUAGCCAA
rnacentral:lncRNA from 1 species